UACGUAGGGGGCUAGCGUUGUCCGGACUUACUGGGCGUAAAGCGCGCGCAGGCGGUCUUCCAAGUCAGUGGUGAAAGCCCGGAGCUCAACUCCGGAACUGCCAUUGAAACUGUAAGACUUGAGGAUGAGAGAGGUGAGUGGAAUUCCCAGUGUAGAGGUGAAAUUCGUAGAUAUUGGGAAGAACACCGGUGGCGAAGGCGGCUCACUGGCUCAUAUCUGACGCUCAGGCGCGACAGCGUGGGGAUCAAACAGG
rnacentral:rRNA from 1 species